rnacentral:lncRNA from 1 species
UAUCUGUUUCUCCCUCCCCUAUUUGGUCUGUAAAAAUGUAAGAGGACCGCUCCCAGUAGAUGACGGUGUACCUUCUGACGAAAGUGGUAUCGCACUAUAUGUAAGGGUCACCCGUGGCUAAGUAAUGCCGUGAGUAUAGAUAUCUGCUAGGGCUACUAUGGUUGGUACGGCCAUGGUCAUAGAUCGUAUCAUGGUUUGGCCAGCCAGAAGUGGGCUUGAGAAAAUUGUUGUAUUUGUAUAUGAUCUGGUCAUUCUAUUUGGGUAAUUAAAAAUCUAUAUCUGUCCUUAAAGAUAAAAGUUUGUAAUGACUUCAUGAAGCAUGACAUGAAAAAUCAGUGCAUUUCAUGAUUUAUUUGAUUUUCUCUAUUAUCUGACAUGAUGCAUAUUUGAUCUUCUAUGCCAACGUACCAUUUUUGUAUUCAAACAAAUGGUUUUCAUAAUGGUGAGAUAGGUAAACGAGGAAGUUAAACGGUAAGAUAAAAUAAUAAACUUUUGAAAUCUUAUGAUAUUAAUUUAAUACUGUUUUCCUUACUGAGCAUAUAGAACACACUCUUUCCAUGCCCCCCAGAUGAGAAAAAAAAUGAGGAAUCAUAGGCAGACCUACCCUUGGAUGUCUAUGAGGAUCCCGUGGAUCCACAAGUCUGAGUGCAUGACUGUUCUCGCACUCUGAUGAAUCCAGUAGCAUAGUGAAAGAAGUGGCCCUUAUGUUUUGUAUUUUGUAGCCACUUCUGAUGAAUCCAACCACUCCCAACAAACCCAUUGCAGAAGAAGACACACCAGAGUGAUUGUCAAAGAGAUCCCAAGUCCGUCGAGGCCAGCCCAUCCACCAACCUGCAAAAAUAUACCUCUGAUGACAUCUCACAUUUGAAGAUGAUAUAAAG